CCAAUGCUAGGUACGCGCUUUUAUUUAUUUUUGUUUUAACCUUUACCCUUAACUUAACCUUAACCCUAACCUUAACCCUUACCUUAACCACUCGGAAUUAAUGCCUGAAUUUAUGUUUUGGUUUCACUUUUGCAGCAGUUUGACCGACAGCUAAGGCCAACACUGUGACGUGAACCGAACUCUCGUUUUCAUAUGGACUAUUCCUGGAUGUGGUGGUGGAAGGUGGGACAAGUUGGAUGGAGAAAACGAGAGAGAGACACGGAGAGACGGCUGGAAUCAGGAAUAACGAUGAGAGAUGUGAAGACAUCAAAACUAUGUCCAUGUUGCAUCCCAGAUGGUACACUAUGCCCUACACAGUGUACUACGUUUUUG
ensembl:lncRNA